rnacentral:rRNA from 1 species
UACAGAGGAUCCAAGCGUUAUCCGGAUUUAUUGGGUUUAAAGGGUGCGUAGGUGGCCUGUUAAGUCAGGGGUGAAAGACGGUAGCUCAACUAUCGCAGUGCCCUUGAUACUGAUGGGCUUGAAUAAACUAGAGGUAGGCGGAAUGUGACAAGUAGCGGUGAAAUGCAUAGAUAUGUCACAGAACACCAAUUGCGAAGGCAGCUUACUAUGGUUUUAUUGACACUGAGGCACGAAAGCGUGGGGAUCAAACAGG